rnacentral:lncRNA from 1 species
GGAGAGAGAUGCCUAUGAAUGGUAACAUACGGAGAUUGACAGUAAGACAAGCCCAUCUAUCAGAUUAUAUUCCUUGGAUUCACCAUGACAAACAAGUGAAGAGCCAAUGGAAUAAGAAACAAUUUGCAUAUUAUUUGACCACCAGAGGUAUCAAAUACCUAAUAUUUGAUUAAUACCUCAUUAUGAUCAUGCAGAAGAAUAGGUGUGUUUGCCAUGGGGGAGAAACCAAUUGCUGGUAGCCCUUGUAACCGGAAGUAACGAGAAUCCGUGGCAGCAGGAAAGACCUCUGGUUUACCAAGUUUUCCAUUAGCUUUUCUGACAGCCUCUUCAAGCAGAAUCCACCAUGGGUUAGAAUCGUCAGUCUUUGUAAGGAGUGGCUUCCCAAAGUUGUCGUAAACAGUGUUUUUCUGCUUAAACUGCCCAAGCUACAAAAAUAAUUAGAACAAUUUGCAUUAAACGCUUAAAAAGUUGUUCCUAGACACAUGCACUACAUAUAUCUGAUACCAUAUUCAAAUGCGAGCCUUUUCCAUUACUAUAAUCAUAUGUCCUUAUACACUGUACCUUCAGAUAACAGUACUUACUGAUAAGCACUAACUUUAAAACAAAAAGUCAAGUUUACUAUCUUCCACAACUCUUCAAGUAUAUGCAUCAACAUAUUCUCAAAAGAAUCAGAUGGCUUUGUGCUCUUGUGUGGGCUCUUACUACUAGCCACACUGAACUGAAAAAAGGCCACUGGUCAAUGCUAGUCUCAUGAAAAAUAAUCCUAAAUAUGGAUAUAACAUUCCCCUUCAGUUUCAUAAGGAAAAAACGAACAUUUGCCCCUUCCAUUUUCUAUAAUAUUGGAAAUGGACAAUCUCAACUCCUAUAGCACGUGUAGGUAAAAUAGAAUCUCUUUAAAGGACACUACUAAAUAUAAACCAAAAAAAAAAAACAUUCUGCUAAAUGAUUUAUGCAACAUCAAUGCAUUUCUAUGCAGAAACUAUCAUUGGUAGCCAGACAUGAACAAAGAAACUCUGUUUCACCUCUCUUCUUCUUUUUUUUUUUUUCCACAUGCAAGACAACUAGGGAUAUUAAAUGUUUUUUCAAUGAGUUUAUUAGCACCUGGUAUGUCAUAUUGCGUGAAACAGGUGCCCAUUCUUCAGCAAUUCGCCUUUCUAGAGCUUCAGGAUCAGCAGUUGGUGGAAUUCGAAUAUCAAAACCUGCUUCUGCUUCAGAUGGCUGCAAAUUCAUGACAAAUCCCUGGAAGCCAACCAAAAGCAAUAAAUCACUAGGAUAAUGAUGGCUUGUGUAAGAAAGCAAAUAAAUUACAAAAUAUUGCAGAUCCAAAAAGUUGUUGCCAAGAAAAUAAUUUAAGGAUUUCAAUUCAGUAGUCCAACUGUUCAAUCAUUGUCAAUAAUUUUAAUCCCAAGUUUGAAAAUUUGUGAGGCCUUUAGGUUCUUGUUGAGCAUAGCUUGUUUCUAAUAUCCUAAGAUCACAUACAAUGUUUUCUUCAUCAAAUGUUUAAGGGUAUUUACCAGAAAUUUUCCAGAUGAUAAUUGUAGCAAAACGCAUGGAAGAACUUACAGUUGGAGAUGGAGUGCCAGCCUUAAGAAACACCAUGUUAACAGAAAUAACCUCUCCCUCCUCCUUCAAACCAGAUUUCACCAAAUCAAACUGAGAAGCCCGGAAUCUCCUCACACUCUCAAUGCUUUUCAAAAGAUUUUCCAUUGCACUAUUGUCAUAAAGCUUAGCUCCAUGGCCUGGCGCCCCGUUGGCCUUAAUCACCAGCCACCAUGGACUCCUCUCUGCAUAGAACGGCCGGUAAUUCUCAGUGGGCGAUGCUAAUCCUGUUUUCAAGAUACACCACAAUAACCAAUAAGCUUUAGCUCAAUACUACAGUUUGAACUUUGAAUCUCGAAGCAAACCAAUAAAAGAAGUGGCAGAACAAUACAUCAUUUCAAUGAAACAAAUAAAGAGACUAAGUAAAUUAAAAUCAACCACCUUCAUCAAGCACUAUUCCCACAUUCAUGGUCUUGAAGAUAUCAGAAGCAGAAAACUUCUCAGCACCAUCAUGGCCGCCUAUUUCUUCAUCGGGGGCAAAAGAGAGGUAAAUGGACCGAAUCGGCUGGUACCCAGAAGACUUCAAGCGGCGGACAGCUUCCAGAUACUGCAUACCAACGCACUUCAUGUCCUGGGAGCCUCUAGCAUAGAUGUUACCAUGGGAAUCAAGGUGUGCGCCGAAGGCAGGGUAAGCCCACUUGUGCUGCUCGACGGGGACGACAUCAGUAUGAGAGUAAAGGAGGAUAGAAGGGAGGGUAGGGUUAGAGCCCGCCCACUUGAGGAGAACAAGUGGCUUGCCAUCGACGAACUCAAUGGAUUGAGAUUCAAGACCGAUGGAUUUGGCCUGGGAAAUGAGGAAAUCGGCUGCUUCUUGAUAUCGGGGGCUGGGUUGGGCGGUGUCAAUUUGGAGGUAUUGUUGGAAUCUUGAUAUGAUUGAUGAUGAUGAAUCUUCGGCUAGAGCUACUGCGGGAUUUGGAAGGUGUAAGCAAGUAUUGAGGAGGAGUACAAGGACGAAGAGGAAGAAAGAGUGGCUAGUGGAAGAGAAGGAAGUUGGGAGUGGACAGUCCAUUAGAAUUGAAUGUCUCAUACUUGCAAUCCAACAGGGCUAUGGUGGCGCAGGGAAAGUUAUUACCUUUUUGCAUAUCUGAGCUUAGAUGGGUCUAUCUUUUUAGGUUCUUCUUCCUCGUCAUUUGACAUUAGAGCUCUAAACCAUAUAUAUAUAUAUAUAUAUAGUUUAUAUGGUGAAUUAGUGGGCAAUUAAAUGCAUGAUCCCAAUUGAUUUAAAAGGUAGUCAGAAUUAGUUAUUUUUUUUUUUAAAUGAAAAUUAGAGAUGUGAAGAGUAAAAUUUGAAAUCUACUUAAUCUUUGGGAAUCAAUCAUAUGAACAUACCAUCUGAACAUACCACUUGGCUAAGCAUGCUAUGAGUUGAAAUCUUUGGGAAUCAAUCAGAUGAACAUACCAUCUGAACAUACCACUAGGCUAAGCAUGCUAUGAAUGAAAAAUGACUGGUAUUAUUAAAAAAUAAAACAAAUAACUAAAUAUAUUUUACAUAUAUCUUAAUUUAUAAAUUCAGAAUUUAGCAUUUAAUAUUGCCUGAUAAAUCAUUUUGCACAAUAAAAAUGGUACUAAUUGAUUAUUAUGGAAUUAGAUAUUAAUAUAUUUUUUAAAAUAAAAAAGAGUAAUUAAUAAAUUUUUUUAUAACACAGAAUUUUAGCUUAUUAUUAUUUGUAGCAUUACGAAGUUCAAAGAGCACAAAUCCAUACCCUGAACCAGUUCUGCCAGUGUCCUGUUUGGCCCACUUAUUUGUACAUCACUAGUACAUGCAUCUAAUCUGAAUCGUUAUUUUACAAAACUUCCAUAAAAUAUGGGCUUGAAGAUGGACAGUGAUCAGGAGCUAUCUUAUAACUCAUCUUUGGUCCCUUCAUUGCUGGCAUGCUCAGCAUAAGAUGCAUAAGCUUUAAUUAUUGACUCGUAGAUCUCUACGCCUUUCAGGUAUUCGGCUUUGUUCAGGAACUGCAAGAAUGUAGAACACAUGAUGGUUACACAACACAAUCACUGAAUGCAUAUUAAGCAAAAUUCUGAGCCCUUGUAAUAUGCAAAAUCAAUUAACACAGAGGGAGAGAGAUGCCUAUGAAUGGUAACAUGUGAAGAUUGACAGUAAGACAAGCCCAUCUGUCAUACAUUCUUAAAUUCACCAUAACAAUCAAGUGAAGAGCCAAUGUGAAAUUAUUGACCACCAGAGGUAUCGAAUGCGACUAUUUUAUUAAUCAUACCUCAUUAUGAUCAUGCAGAAGAACAGGUGUGUUUGCCAUGGGGGAGAAACCAAUUGCUGGUAGCCCACGGAACCG